AUGUCGGGGAAUCUCCCAGUGAGCUUGUUGUAUGAAAAGUCAAGGUGGAUCAGGUACUUGAGGUUGCACACAGACGGAGGGAUGCUGCCGAAUUUUAUCGGCAGCAUCCCUCCAUCUGUGUGCAACCUCAAGUACCUGAUCCACCUCGACUUUUCAUACAACAAGCUCACUCACCAAAAGCUCGAGAUCUCGUACUUGUAUGACAAUGUACUCAACGGGAAGUUGCCAUGCAACAUCACUGCGGUGAAUUUGAUUAAAAUAGACUUGUUGGAAAACAAACUUGCUGGCUGCAUACUAGAAGACUUUGGGACACUCAAGAAACUAACCAUUAUCAUCCUAUACAACAACGAGUUCAUAGGCCCCAUCUCCAUAAUCAUUGGCCUCAUUCCCAAACUCCAAUACAUCCAGUUGUUCGACAAUAUGAUCUCGAGUGAGUUUCUAACAACAGCUUCUCCGACGAGCACCCGGAGCAUUGGCAACUGCCUAUCGCUGGAUAACAUUAUGCUCGACAACAACAACAGCAACAACAACUUCUCUGGGAAGUUUCAGAAUAACCAACUCCCGGGAGAGCUACAUGUCAACAGAAGCAAUAUCCACAUACUUUCUGAAUUGUCACUAAGUGGGAACAAGAUACCUGGAUCCAUACCAACAUCAAUUGAAUCAUUGCGGAAUCUCAAAUCACUUGACCUCAGCAACAAUCGUAUAUCAAGUGCAAUACCGUCAUGGAGCAUUGAGAUGAUUUCAUCACUGAAAAUGACACCAUUCACACCUCUGGACUUCACGGAAUCCGACGUGCUGAACAACAUAUCUGAGGAGAACAUUGUCGGCAACGGCGGGUCUAGGAAGGUGUACCGUGUCCACCUCCCUGGCCGUCAUGGGCGCCCCUACGCCAUUGGACUGGCCGACAAGGCUGACCAGGCUAUUAUCCAUCAGGACAUAAAGUCAGCCAACAUUUUGGUUGACCCAGAGUUCCAUGUCAAGAUCGCCGACUUUGGGCUUGCUCGAAUGGUUGUCAAUCCACGCCAGUCCCACCAUAGUGUCGUUCUGCUAGAGCUGACAACCGACAUGGUUGCCGUGGGCGUUGGAGGAGGAGAAAGAUUGGCUGAAUGGGCAUGGAAGGUUUUACAAGAUUGCUCUUUAACGAAAGACAAAAGCGUCGAACAUAUCCGUGACACGGUCCAGUUAGAGGAUAUUUUUUAUGGUGCUGAAACUCGGUGUUCCCUGGACGAGUCCUCAAGCGUAUCUGCGGUCGAGCAUGAAGCGCGUCCUUACCCAUUUCAUCCUCAUCCAAUGCAACCGGAGGCACAUUGGGUGGCAGGUGGAGGGGAUUGGGGUUGUCCGGCCAUCUCCUACCUCUGGCGGCUGCAACUUCGAAUCGAUAGAGCAUUCGAGCUUGGGGAGAAGAGAUUCUACUACUCUCAAACUGCAGCCUCGUUUUGCUGUCAGUUUUCUGUUUUUGAUUUUGAUCUGAUGCAUGUAUCCCACGGGGCAUCACAUAGAUUAGCAUUCAAGGUAGGUUCGAGUCUGCAGAUCGGGUGGGACGGUAUGGCUGGAAUACGCUUGGUAACAGGGAGGAUUACCACUGCUGUGUACAAGACCUCUAAGGAAGACCAUCACUGGGACAGGCUCGCCGGAUUGUUGGCGCCAAAGAAGCGAAAAGAGAUGGGUCGCCCAACAACUAGCCGAGAGAAGGCGCCGUACCACCAUGGUGUUGUGGAACUAAAUGCCCAUGCUAGCGUCUUUGUUAGGCUUUUUGUGGCAUUCAUGAUUAGCGAUCGUGUUUCUAGUAGGGUUCGGGCUGAGAGGUCCCCAGGCCGAACGAAAUCAUCGUUCGUUCCCCCCUGGCUGGGGAACAAUUCGUUCGGGACGAACCCUCCUCGGUGCGAACGUCAGCACGUUAUCAGCUUCCUAAGUAAAACAGUACGAGAUGACCCGUUGCUAAUCAUGCCCCCAAGUGAAGACUGA
rnacentral:rRNA from 1 species